rnacentral:lncRNA from 1 species
GGAUCUAAGGGCACCAAGUUUACACCUUUAUGCGUAAGCUAUUACCUCGUUCUACCAUUGACCGAGGCAAUACAACCAUUACGCCUCGGUUGAGUACCAACUCGAUGCCUAUGCUCGUCUAAUACACCUCGGUUCUAUAAUAACUGAGGCAUAAACAUCUUUAUUCACCGGUUCUGCAGCAACCGAUGACGUAGUGCAGAUAUGCUUCGGUCCACC